GUUCCUGAGCUAGAAAAAAAGCAGGCAGCAGAAAAAGCGAGAAGGGGAAGAUCAGUGCUGUUUACAAGAAGAGCUAAAGCCUGUCUAGCAUCAUCCACAGAGUGGUUUCCUGUGAAAUUGAGAGUUGAUGCUCCAGCCUGUUUGGAAGGAGGGCUCUGUAAGCAGCACCCUAGUUUGGAGCCAAGGGAUGGGGAGUCUGAUGUGGCUCUGUGUGCACAAGGCAGAGAUCAGCUCCACAGAGGAGUCUUGCUCUAACCUGAAAGGAGCUUCACAGCACAGCAGCACUGAAGAAAACCAGAAAAACUGCAGAGAGAUAAAGAUCCAAUGGAUGAAAGAGCUCCUUUGUCACAAGCAGGAUGCUCAGGAGUGCAGAGGACAGAACAUCUUGGCAUUAGAGCAGCCACUGUGCCCCAACCAUUCGUAAAAGUUUGUGCCAGUGGGUGCACCAGCUUCAGACCAUACACUCUGAGUGAGGAGAGGGCCAGGGGCUGGCAUUUUAAAAAUAGAAAUUAGAAAGUAAAAAAUACAUUUAAAUGAAGUUCAGCCUGACUACUGCUUCUAAGAAAGCAAAGUAUGAGGCUGCAGGUGAGACCAAAAGCUCAUGAGUUUGCACAGUAACAUUUGUCUUGUCUAAAUUACCCAGUAGAAAAUUGUGGUAGUUGCAGACUUACAUACAGAAUAAAAUUUUCCAAUCUAGGUUUUUUCUUCUUAGCCUCUUUCGGUGUGCUAGUCACUAUCAAAAAGUUCCUACCUUGCUGCAUUCAUGUUUUGUAAGAAAAAAAUCAAUUGAUAGUGUGCUGGAUCUGAGUAAAUUUACCCUUUCAGAAAACAGUUUUCUUUAUAGAUUAUAUUUCCAUCCCAAAACUUACUACAGGGAUUUAACACAUCUCCUGUUGUCAUGCUGCACGAAUAACAAGCAAGGAAUGUUGGGGUUUUCCCCAUUUAAUGAUUUAUCUUUGUUUUUACCUUUUUUUGUGAGUGUGUGUAUGCUGUUCCUGGCCUGGUUCUUACACAUUCAGUAGGGGAGUACAAGAGCUGGUAGAUCUAAGUGGUUUUCUGUGCUGCUGUGACAUUUAUUAGCAGGCAAAACCUGUAGCCAUGGUAAAAAUGUGUUCCUUUGCAGAAAUUAUAUGUUACCUCUUAUCCAAGCAGUCUCAUACCUUCUCUUAGGUCAAAGAGGAGAGAGAAAAGUGGGGAUGGGAGGUUUCUUUUUGCAUUCAGGCUCAAGAUAUGUGCAAUGUGAAACGAAAUGAUAUCUAAAAUUUGAGCUAGGGUAAAAGAUCCACUUAAAGGAUGUGUGCUUUUGGAAAGAGUUUUAAUAGAC